GAUGAACGCUGGCGACGUGCUUAACACAUGCAAGUCGAACGAUGAUCCGGUGCUUGCGCCGGGGAUUAGUGGCGAACGGGUGAGUAACACGUGAGUAACCUGCCCUGGACUCUGGGAUAACCCCGAGAAAUCGGAGCUAAUACCGGAUAGGACCCUGUACCGCAUGGUGUGGGGUGGAAAGUUUUUUCGGUCUGGGAUGGACUCGCGGCCUAUCAGCUUGUUGGUGAGGUAAUGGCUCACCAAGGCGUCGACGGGUAGCCGGCCUGAGAGGGUGGCCAGCCAAGCAGGGACUGAGACACGGGCCGGAGGUCUACGGGAGGCAGCAGUGGGGAAUAUUGCACAAUGGGCGCAAGCCUGAUGGAGGAACGCCGCGUGCGGGAUGACGGCCUUCGGGUUGUAAACCGCUUUUAGUAAGGAAGAAGGGGAGCUUGCUCCUUGACGGUACUUGCAGAAAAAGGACCGGCUAACUACGUGCCAGCAGCCGCCGUAAAAC
rnacentral:rRNA from 1 species